CCAGACUCCUACGGGAGGCAGCAGUGAGGAAUAUUGGUCAAUGGGCUUACGCCUGAACCAGCCAAGUCGCGUGAGGGAAGACUGCCCUAUGGGUUGUAAACCUCUUUUGUCAGGGAGCAACGCCGGCUACGUGUAGCCGGACUGAGAGUACCUGAAGAAAAAGCAUCGGCUAACUCCGUGCCAGCAGCCGCGGUAAUACGGAGGAUGCGAGCGUUAUCCGGAUUUAUUGGGUUUAAAGGGUGCGCAGGCGGAUUUUUAAGUCAGCGGUCAAAUCGUGGGGCUCAACCCCAUCCAGCCGUUGAAACUGGGGAUCUAGAGUGUGCGAGAGGUAUGCGGAAUGCGUGGUGUAGCGGUGAAAUGCAUAGAUAUCACGCAGAACCCCGAUUGCGAAGGCAGCAUACCGGUGCACAACUGACGCUCAGGCACGAAAGCGUGGGUAUCGAACAGGAUUAGAUACCCCCGUA
rnacentral:rRNA from 1 species